GAUCAUGGCUCAGGAUGAACGCUAGCUACAGGCUUAACACAUGCAAGUCGAGGGGCAGCAUUGGGAUAGCUUGCUAUUCAGAUGGCGACCGGCGCACGGGUGAGUAACGCGUAUCCAACCUCCUGCCAGUAGGGAACAGCCCGGCGAAAGUCGGAUUAAUGCCCUAUGUUCUUCAAUGCGGACAUCUAAGUUGAAGGAAAGAUUCAUCGCUGGCAGAUGGGGAUGCGUCCGAUUAGCUUGCCGGCGGGGUAACGGCCCACCGGGGCGACGAUCGGUAGGGGUUCUGAGAGGAAGGUCCCCCACACUGGUACUGAGACACGGACCAGACUCCUACGGGAGGCAGCAGUGAGGAAUAUUGGUCAAUGGGCGUAAGCCUGAACCAGCCAAGUAGCGUGCAGGACGACGGCCCUACGGGUUGUAAACUGCUUUUAUGCGGGGAUAAAGUGCGGCACGUGUGCCGCUUUGCAGGUACCGCAUGAAUAAGGACCGGCUAAUUCCGUGCCAGCCGCCGC
rnacentral:rRNA from 1 species